AUGUCGGGAGGCUUCUUCCGGGGGACGUCGGCCGACCAGGAUACCAGAUUCUCCAACAAGCAUGCCAAGCUGCUCAAGACGCAGAAGUUCGCGUCCGAGCUUGACCAUCAGGUGGACAUGUCAAAGGUGAAGAUGGACGUGAUGAAGCCGUGGAUUGCCACACGGGUCACCGAGCUUCUUGGGUUCGAGGACGAAGUGCUUAUCAACUUCAUCUACGGCCUGCUCGAUGCGAAGGAGGUGGACGGGAAGUACAUACAGAUCCAGCUGACAGGGUUCAUGGAGAAGAAUACAAUAAAAUUCAUGAGGGAGCUGUGGAGCCUCCUUCUCAGUGCGCAGCAGAAUGCCAGUGGUGUGCCCCAGCAAUUUUUGGAUGCAAAGGAGGCUGAGAUUCAGCAGAGAAAGGCGGAAGAGGCUAGAAUUGCCCAGGAGAUCCAGAAGAAGCGAGAGAAAGAUGGAAGGGACACAGAACUAGCUAAACACAAAAUGAUGGCCGGGGAUACUGGUAAUUCAAGAUUUCAUGGUGAUUCACUUGGCUCUGCUUUAAACAAUCCCAAUGUUGAUGCUGAGAAAGAAAAGGAACUGGACUUGAAGCAUAGCUCGAGAACAAAGAGCCGGGAACAUCGAAGACCUAGGAGCACAUCUUUGUCGCCCCGUGGUAGGCAACGGUCUAUUUCUCCAAGGAGGCGCUCUCCAUCCCCUUCCAGACAAAGAUCAUUGCGACGUUCAGCUUCACCUAGACGUUCUGUUUCCCCCCGAAGGCAUUCCCCAAGAAUUGCUCCUUCAGUGUCUAGGCGGAGGUCACCGUAUUCCAGGAGAUCACCUUCGGUACCUAGAUCGCCAUCACCUCGGCGGAGAUUUCCCAUUAGGAGAAGAUCUCCACCACCUGGGCGACGUAGAUCACCAUCUCCUUAUCGUCGUCGGUCCCCAGCUCGCGCACCUAGAAGAUCACCAUCUCCUGCGCGUCGCAGAUCACCUCCUCGACAUAGAUUACCAGCAGAUAGACACCGGUCCCCAUCUCCAGGAAGGCGCAGGCCACGGUCCCCAUCACCUGUAAGACGCAGGCCACGGUCCCCAUCACCUAGAAGACAUAGGCCACGUUCUCCAGGAAGACGACAGUCCCUGUCACCUCACCGCUCACCGCAGUUGAGGUCACCAAAACGCCAGAGAAAAUCCCCAAUUUCAAUUAGGACGCUUUCUGCAAAUCGUCCAGUCUCUCCACAGCGGAGGAGGAGUAGCAGUCCACACAGCAGGAGUCCAAAUCGCUCACGUAGGAGUUUGAGCAGGGACGCAGAAAAGGGAACAAACGAUGCACCCUCCACUAAAGGCAGGGAUCUGGCUCAAAGGAACCAAGAAAGGAGUGGCCGAGAGUCACCGGAUUUUGAACACCGUAGGCUCACAAAAUCCUUGAGGUCUCCUACUAAUGAUGCAGAAAGAGACUCCACACGUGGCAGUCCUUUGAAGGACACUGGAAAACAUAUGCCCAGUCAGGACAGCACAAAUACCAGUGGAGAUGAGGAAGAAGGCGGGCGUGCAAGGGAGAAUGCACGGAAGGCCAAUUCAUCACGCAGGAUAUCCAAGGAUUUCUCGUCUGAUCUGCAACUAAAGGAAGUCAACGUUGAUAACUCAAUCCCUGGAGAAAAACCCUCUUCCAGAUCAAGACAGGAUGGCGGCAAGGAUGUCCCCAAGAAAUAUGAUGAUCAGCUAUCAGAUUCAUCAGAAGAUGCGCUUGAUGGUAGAAGAAUGAGACGCCAGGGUGAUUCCCCUGACGAUUCUCGUGUGAAACGGCAGUCCCCUAGUAGAGCUGGUGACUCUUAUCCAAAGGAUGGGAUUAACAUUGAUCGUGCCAAAACGGAUUCACUUGGUGCUUCUUAUGAUGCUAUUGCAGCGAAGAAAUACUCUGGUAAAGUUGAUGAAGCUUCCCAAUCAGAUGGUGGAAGUCCUCUUCAAAAAGCUAAGAAAAGGACACAUGAUAGUAAACACAUUGAUCGUCGCAGUUCGGGCUCAGAAGAAUCUGAGAAACACAGAUCCCAGUCCGAGAAGCGAAGACAUAAAAAGGGUCACAAGCACAAGAAGCAUUAUGAUGAUAGUUCUGAUUCUGAUUCUGACUCAGAUGACAAGGAGUCCAAGAGGAGGAGGCGAGAAGAGAAAAAGCUGCGAAAAGAGGAAAGGCGCCUUAGACGUGAAGAACGGCACCGCAGAAGGGCGGACCGUCAUGCCAGUAAACAGAGAUUGAAGUAUGCUGGUUCUCCCCUGUCAGACCUUGAGAAGGAUCGUCAAUCUGGCUCAGAUGCUGAUGUAGGGAAGAAAGGUUCAUACACUCCGAGAGAAGAACCUGACCCAAACAAACUUGAAAUUGAGCUUCGACAGAGGGCCCUUGAAUCUCUUGCAAAGAAAUCAAAGCAUGUUGUUACUCCGUCUUCAGAUGUCGAGAAGGACCGUGAAUCUGACACGGAUGCUGAUGUUAGGAAGAGAGUUUCAUAG
rnacentral:rRNA from 1 species